CGCGUAGGCGGCCCGCUAAGUCGAACGUGAAAUCCCCGAGCUCAACUCGGGAACUGCGUCCGAUACUGGUGGGCUUGAAUCCGGGAGAGGGAUGCGGAAUUCCAGGUGUAGCGGUGAAAUGCGUAGAUAUCUGGAGGAACACCGGUGGCGAAGGCGGCAUCCUGGACCGGCAUUGACGCUGAGGCGGCGGAAAGCUAGGGAGGCAAACCG
rnacentral:rRNA from 1 species